CAAUUGGGCUAGGGUUCUAGUUCCCUUUAAAUUAGUAGUUACUUGUUUUGUUUUCCUCUUCUUACUAGGUUUUGUUUUAAUUUCAUGUUUAGGUUUUUAAUUUCCUAGGUCAAUUAGGUUUUCAAUUUCUUAUGUCAAUUAGGUUUUCUAUACUCAGGCACCAGCUUUCCGCUCUCUCUUUCUCUCCACCGCAAGCCCAAACCCUCCCUCACCACUGCAAUUUAUCUUUUUCACCCGGCCAUGAUUGAAAAGAGGAUGUUAGUCAGAUCGAGCCAGGUCCAGCCCCAGCCCGAGAAAAGACCUCGACAAGAAGUCUGCUACACAGAGUCCAGCCGGGGCGAGACCCGGCCUGUACUGAUUCGAAAAAGGGUCUACAACACAGCACCGAUUCGAAAAAAGGUGUGCAGCACAGAGCCCAUCCGGGGCGUGCUCCCGCCCGAACCGGAUCGAGAGACGAUGCGGGUUAAGGAUGGUUAUUUCGCAUGGGAACCUUUGGACAGUGGUGAUGACAGUGACGAAGGUGACGACGUGCUAUGUAUGGUGGAGCAUGAGUAUUGUAGUUUAAUGGCUGCUAGCUAGAAAGGAAGAGAAGGAGAUAAGGAGACGUUUUAGAGAAUCCAAGCAAACCACUGCGGAAGCGCAAACCAGUAAUAAACCAAGAAAGGGGCAAUGGUUUUAUUUCUACAAAGGCGAUAUGAUUCAGCAUCAAUGUAGGGAGUGUUUGAAGCAGGAUCAUGCGGCUACAUUUUGCCCGUACAGGAAUUAUGUCCCAAAGGGCGCAAAAGUUGGCCCCGUCACCAUGGUGAUGAUGACUGGGUAGGAGUUAUUGUUCCUCGUAAGUGUUGGAAUUGUCGUGCUUCUGGUCAGCACAGCACUGAAGACUGCCCCAAAGAGCGUGUUAGAUGGGUAUUGUUUCCGUGGCAAGAGGAACACGAGCACAAGAGUGAAGACUGCCCCAAGAAAGAAGCCGCGUGAUAGGACACAGUGUUCAGACAUAUGACUAAAGUCUAUUGUUUAUGCAGCUUUGUUCGUGCUAUUGUUUGUGCAGCUGUUUUAGUUUGGUUGACAGCUUUUUCUAAAAUCUAUUUAAAUAAAAUCUGUUUACAUUAUCCUA